UACGGGGGGGGGCAAGCGUUGUUCGGAAUUACUGGGCGUAAAGGGCUCGUAGGUGGCCAACUAAGUCAGACGUGAAAUCCCUCAGCUUAACUGGGGAACUGCGUCUGAUACUGGAUGGCUUGAGUUUGGGAGAGGAUGCGGAGUUCCAGGUGUAGCGGUGAAAUGCGUAGAUAUCUGGAGGAACACCGGUGGCGAAGGCGGCAUCCUGGACCAACACUGACACUGAAAACCGAAAGCUAGGGGAGCAAACGGG
rnacentral:rRNA from 1 species